AACGAACGCUGGCGGCAGGCCUCAAACAUGCAAGUCUAGGGGGUGCAGCAAUGCAUCACCGGCGGACGGGUGCGUAACGCGUGGGAAUAUACCUAUUGGUUCGGAACAACUGCGGGAAACUGCAGCUAAUACCGAAUGUGCCCUAACGGGGAAAGAUUUAUCGCCAAUGGAUUAGCCCGCGUAGGAUUAGCUAGUUGGUGGGGUAAUGGCUCACCAAGGCUCCGAUCCUUAGCUGUUCUGAGAGGAAGAUCAGCCACACUGGGACUGAGACACGGCCCAGACUCCUACGAGAGGCAGCAGUUGGGAAUCUUGGACAAUGGGGGAAACCCUGAUCCAGCCAUGCCGCGUGAGUGAUGAAGGCCUU
rnacentral:rRNA from 1 species